rnacentral:rRNA from 1 species
UACGUAGGGUGCAAGCGUUAAUCGGAAUUACUGGGCGUAAAGCGUGCGCAGGCGGUUAUGCAAGACAGAUGUGAAAUCCCCGGGCUUAACCUGGGAACCGCAUUUGUGACUGCAUAGCUGGAGUACGGCAGAGGGGGAUGGAAUUCCGCGUGUAGCAGUGAAAUGCGUAGAUAUGCGGAGGAACACCGAUGGCGAAGGCAGUCCCCUGGGCCUGUACUGACGCUCAUGCAUGAAAGCGUGGGGAGCAAACAGG